rnacentral:tRNA from 124 species
GCCCGGAUGGCGAAACUGGUAGACGCAUCGGACUUAAAAUCCGCCGGGGGCAACCCCAUGCCGGUUCGAUUCCGGCUCCGGGCACCA